CCUACGGGAGGCAGCAGUGGGGAAUAUUGGACAAUGGGCGAAAGCCUGAUCCAGCCAUGCCGCGUGUGUGAAGAAGGCCUUCGGGUUGUAAAGCACUUUCAGUGGGGAAGAAAGCCUUGGGGCUAAUACCCUCGAGGAAGGACAUCACCCACAGAAGAAGCACCGGCUAACUCCGUGCCAGCAGCCGCGGUAAUACGGAGGGUGCGAGCGUUAAUCGGAAUUACUGGGCGUAAAGCGCGCGUAGGCGGUCUGAUAAGCCGGUUGUGAAAGCCCCGGGCUCAACCUGGGAACGGCAUCCGGAACUGUCAGGCUAGAGUGCAGGAGAGGAAGGUAGAAUUCCCGGUGUAGCGGUGAAAUGCGUAGAGAUCGGGAGGAAUACCAGUGGCGAAGGCGGCCUUCUGGACUGACACUGACGCUGAGGUGCGAAAGCGUGGGUAGCAAACAGGAUUAGAUACCCCAGUAG
rnacentral:rRNA from 1 species